CACCGUGGGUGGACAUCCUAAUCAGGUUACUCUGAGCACCGUGGGUGGAUGCCUUAAUCAGGUUUCUCUGAGUACCGUGGGUGAACACCCUAAUCAGGUUACUCUGAGCACCGUGGGUGGACACCCUAAUCAGGUUACUCUGAGCACCGUGGGUGGACGUCCUAAUCAGGUUACUCUGAGCACCGUAGGUGGAUGCCUUAAUCAGGUUACUCUGAGCACCGUCGGUGGACAUCCUAAUCAGGUUACUCUGAGCACCGUGGGUGGACACCCUAAUCAGGUUACUCUGAGCACCGUGGGUGGACAUCCUAAUCAGGUUACUCUGAGCACCUUGGGUGGACACCCUAAUCAGGUUACUCUGAGCACCGUGGGUGGACAUCCUAAUCAGGUUACUCUGAGCACCGUGGGUGGAUGCCCUAAUCAGGUUACUCUGAGUACCGUGGGUGGACACCCUAAUCAGGUUACUCU
ensembl:lncRNA